GGUAACAGAUCCAGCUUGCUGGAUGCUGACGAGCGGCGGACGGGUGAGUAAUGCAUAGGAAUCUGCCCGAUAGUGGGGGAUAACCUGGGGAAACCCAGGCUAAUACCGCAUACGUCCUACGGGAGAAAGGGGGCUCCGGCUCCCGCUAUGGGAUGAGCCUAUGUCGGAUUAGCUAGUUGGUGAGGUAACGGCUCACCAAGGCCACGAUCCGUAGCUGGUCUGAGAGGAUGAUCAGCCACAUCGGGACUGAGACACGGCCCGAACUCCUACGGGAGGCAGCAGUGGGGAAUAUUGGACAAUGGGGGCAACCCUGAUCCAGCCAUGCCGCGUGUGUGAAGAAGGCCCUCGGGUUGUAAAGCACUUUCAGCGAGGAAGAACGCCUAGCGGUUAAUACCCGCUAGGAAAGACAUCACUCGCAGAAGAAGCACCGGCUAACUCCGUGCCAGCAGCCGCGGUAAUACGGAGGGUGCAAGCGUUAAUCGGAAUUACUGGGCGUAAAGCGCGCGUAGGUGGCUUGAUAAGCCGGUUGUGAAAGCCCCGGGCUCAACCUGGGAACGGCAUCCGGAACUGUCAAGCUAGAGUGCAGGAGAGGAAGGUAGAAUUCCCGGUGUAGCGGUGAAAUGCGUAGAGAUCGGGAGGAAUACCAGUGGCGAAGGCGGCCUUCUGGACUGACACUGACACUGAGGUGCGAAAGCGUGGGUAGCAAACAGGAUUAGAUACCCUGGUAGUCCACGCCGUAAACGAUGUCGACCAGCCGUUGGGUGCCUAGCGCACUUUGUGGCGAAGUUAACGCGAUAAGU
rnacentral:rRNA from 1 species